rnacentral:rRNA from 1 species
AUUGAACGCUGGCGGAAUGCUUUACACAUGCAAGUCGAACGGCAGCACGGGGCAACCUGGUGGCGAGUGGCGAACGGGUGUGUAAUACAUCGGAACGUGCCCAAUCGUGGGGAUAACGUAGCGAAAGUUACGCUAAUACCGCAUACGAUCUACGGAUGAAAGCGGGGGAUCGCAAGACCUCGCGCGAGUGGAGCGGCCGAUGUCAGAUUAGGUAGUUGGUGGGGUAAAGGCUCACCAAGCCAACGAUCUGUAGCUGGUCUGAGAGGACGACCAGCCACACUGGAACUGAGACACGGUCCAGACUCCUACGGGAGGCAGCAGUGGGGAAUUUUGGACAAUGGGCGCAAGCCUGAUCCAGCCAUUCCGCGUGCAGGAUG